CGUAAAGAACACUGAGAAAUAUAAAUAAAACGAACGGGUUGAAUUUAUAUAGAAGAGGUACCAAGCUUUCCAUAUGAUUCCAAAAGUAGCCCAGAAGAUGGAUAUUCUAAAAUUAUUUGUACUCCUUCUGUCCGUAAUUGGUGAUACAUCGUCAUCUUUACAUACCAUCACCUUAAAGAUGAAUAUCUCAAUCCUAAGAGUUUGGACCACAAAAUGUUAUCAGGACGCUGGUACUGGCAGAUGGAUUCACAAAGCGGGAAGCCAGGCUUUAGAGACAACAACUGUGGCGAUAUUUUGGUUCAAUGUGACGGCACACUGAUCAACACUCUGUAUUCUUGGUUUCCGGAAGUGGAGGAAUGCCGCGUCACGGCGGCGAAAUAUCAUCCUAUCAGUACGGAGAGGGAUGUGAAGUUCCUAGUCACCCGGAUGUCCACAAACG